GGAUGCGAUCAUACUAGUACUAACGCACCGGAUCCCAUUAGAACUUCGAAGUUAAAUGUACUUGGGCGAGAGUAGUACUAGUAGGGGUGACCUACCGGGAAGCUCUUGUGUUUGCAUCUC
rfam:Capsicum annuum cultivar Zunla-1 chromosome 1, whole genome shotgun sequence